CCGCCGUGAUGCUGCCGUCUGGGUGGAAGUACCGCCGCAUUGGGGCGCCGCCCCCGCUUCGCCAGGAGGGGUCCAGGUCCCGCCAGUACUCCGGCGCCAACUGCCGAUAAAGAGACAAGUUAUUCUCCGGUGAGAAAGGAAUUAGGAAGGCAGCAACCCAGCACCGACUAGAGCCUAGCUACCGCUGGAACCGGAGCAACCCAGCGCCGGCCAGUGCCCAGCGACCGCUGGAACCGAAGCUGGAGCCGAGCAACCUUUACUCGGACGUAAUUCUGAUUCGCUUAGCUGGAGCCGAGCAACCUUUACUCGAAUAAAACCUCGUGUCAAUGUUGGAACCAUUGGGCAUGUUGACCAUGGAAAGAGAGAAAUCACAAUCUUUGUAUUUUUGAGUAAGGUGCACCAGCGCUCGUUGGAGAAUCCAUCAAAAUCUCAUGUGAUGAGGUGAGAUUUCUCUCUUUGUAUUUUUGAAGGAGAAUACAUUAAAAUUCAUAGACUUUUGGAUACCUAAGAAUUUUUUAAGACUUUUUAAAAUCCAUAUUGAAUACCUCUACAACUAAUACACCCCCUAAGGGGGCUUUUACUUCUGAGGAAUAACGUGGAUAGAUGAAAAUAGUAUUCCCUCCGUCCCAUAACAAGUGUCCAUUUUUCUUUCGGCACGAGAAUUUAUGUGGAUAUGGUUAAAGAGUAAAAGAAGUUAUAGAGCCCACUUUUAUUUCGUGAGUAGGUGGAGAUAAUUAAAAGGUCAAAAAAUGAUGGAACCCACUUUCCUUUUUUAGAAAGUAAACACUAGUUAUGGGACAACCCAAAAGGGAAAAGUAGACAUUUGUUAUGGGAUGGAGGGAAUAUAAAUUAAUCCAUUGUUCACUAAGAUAGGUUGAAAGUUUGGAAUAUUCCAAGGCUCUUGAUAAUUUAUAUCAUUUAAGCUAAUUUUACUUUAUAUCCCAAUGAUAGGAUUGGAGAAAUCCUAGUAAUGAGGAUAAUAUUCUUCAAUCACAUAUCUUAUAGAUUAUGAAAAGUAAAUGCCCCAUAAAUAGAUAAAUAUAGUAUAGUCUAAUCCUUUGUUUACUAAGAUAUAUUGAAACUUUGGAAUAUCUUAAUUUCCCUAAAUUUGAUGUAACUUUGCUUGAUUCAUAUCCCAUUGAAAGGUUAGGAUUGGAGAAAUCGUAGUGAUACUCACCCAUGUAUCUUAUCAAUCAUGAAAAGUAAGUCUCAUAGGCUCAUCCUUUGUUUACUUUAAUGGUUGCCCUUGACGAUUUCUACAAUUUGAGCUAACUUUGCUCGAUUCGUAUCCCAUUGGAAAGAUAAGAUUGGUGAAAUCCUAAUAUUGAAGAUAAAAAAUACUUAAUUGUGUAUAUUAUCAAUCAUUACAAGUAAAUGCCCCCGUACUAUUACACCUUGAGGUUUUGAGUAUAUGAUUUAUGACAAGACAUUGCAUAAUUGGAAUAGAAAUGAGUAUAAGUAAAGAAAGUGAGCAUAUUUUGUUUCAGAAUUUACUAAGAUGUAAAGGGACAGCUAGCUCGAGGCGAACGAGUGGAACCCUUAUUCUUAGAUUCAGUUAUCAAACAAAAUUAGGAGAAUGGUUUGGCCAAAACUGGGCUGAGAAAAGGAUUCCUCACAAACCAUCAAACUUUGUUAAGUAUGAUACAUAGCAUUUUAGAUUUACAAAAGGAUGAUAGUUUAGUAUAGCAUCAUCAGCCCCACUCACAAAUUUCAACUCUUUUUUUUUUUUUUUUUUUCUCAGUCUGAAGCAACUUCCAAAGAACUGAACCCUCACCUAGGUAACAAAUUCACCUUUUAUGAACAACAAAUGCAUGUAGGGGGUGUGACAGAAAUAAUCCUAUGUGUGCUAUCUAAUGUUCCUCAUAUAGCCACAAAUUCAUCUCCCUGGUUAAUCAUUUGGCCUCAAUACUGAUUGACAUGACCAUUUGGAUCUGGGAAAAUGGAAAUAGAUCAGAUCCGGUGUAAGAGGCUUCAGUGAUAUAUCGAGGUUGUCUACUAAAAAUGCUUCAGUAGUGUGCUAUAUAGGCUAUUCCUUAUGAUUAAGGUACACAAUAGAUCAUAACAGUUGCUAAUAUAGGUUUUGGCCAUAAGAAUGCACAAGGAUGUAUUCCUAAUAACUGUAGACCGUGAGAUACGUCAAUACCUAGGAAUCAUAUGAUCAGCAGUUGACUUCUUAUCAGAGCUAGACAGAGAUACUUCAAGAGUUCAAAUCAAGAAAAUUGACAACAUACCUCUGUAAAGCGGAAUUCCCAAACAUGGUCACAAAGGUCAUCCCUAGUGAUUCGAGUCUGACAUUAGCAAAUUGCCAGUUAGAAAGUAUAACAGGCAUCACCUUCAGAUUAGUUUGAGUUAUCACAUAGUUCAUGCAUUCAAAUUCAGAUCCGUGAUUUCUCCGAUAUGAUAUUAUAAGCGCACAAAGCUCUUCCCAGGUGCGUUUGGCUCUCCGAGAGAGAUAAGGAGAGGAAGAAGUGAGACUCACUCGUUUACCGUCUCUGAUUGAGAGCAAGGUAGCCACUAUCUUUGGAAGUCCUUCAGCCAUUGAUACGCGCGGUAUAUGUGCCUUAUCCAACCAUAACUCUUGACACUGAAAAGAAAGGCACCACUGCGUAAAUAAUUUAAAUUAACAAUUGAGGAUGGCAUUAGUGUGUUUUCAUAGAAAAAAACAUCAAAAAGAAGCCUGGCUGAGAAGUGACAAAAGUAAUAACUUCGAACACAUCAGGAGUUCGUUACAGCUAGAGCAUGAUAAUCAACUCAUGUCAUACAGGAUAUUCUUUCGAAGGAAUUGGAAUUGUUUUAUACAUUAUUUUCCAUCUUUUUUCCAUUUCAGCUCACUAAUAUAUACCACCACCCUAAGUAGGAAAAUCAGUAGAAAUACGAAUCCCAAUCAAUUAGAAAGACAGACAUAUUUAUUAAGAGAUCGCAGUGGAAAAGAGGAAACACAUAACAACAAAUCAUCAUAAUACAAAUCCCAGUCCAUGAGUGAGACAGUGGUAAAGGAGGAAACAUAUAACAAAAAAUCAACACAAUACAAAUCCGAGUCAAUGGAGAGGACAAAUUUAUUUCAAUUAGACAUCACAGUGGAAAAAGAGAAAACAUAUAACAAAUCAGCAGUAAUAAAUUGAAACACAAAAUACCAGUUAUAUCAUUCUUCUGAAGAUCCAUUUUAAGUUUAUCAUUCCAUUUUAUUUCUUUCUUCUCCAUUUAUGAUAAUUCGGUCCAACUUUUUCUUUCUCAAGCAUUCCAGGGUUUCCUGUCUUAUGCUUACCUCUGUUUAUGGUGAUCCUAUUCCAAACAUGUUAUUAGACUUUGUGAUAUGAAAAAAAUGAAUAGUUGCACAAUUACCAGAAAUCAAUGCUAUAAGCAUAGAACUAACAAAAUAGACAGGCAAAAAAGGAACAAAAAUUCAACAUAAAAAGAUAAUAGUAACUACAGUUUAAAAAAAUGACUUGGAUUCUACAGCCUUUUCCAACAUGCUUGAGGUGCCCCCCAGAAUGUUUGGCACCAAACACUGUAGUAAAUGCAUUGAGACACUGUAGACAACGUAUCACAAGUGAGACAUAAUAGAUGGUGGAACAAGAAAUGGCUGAGCUGGUAUAUGCAGUAGUGACACUCCGGACAAUGUAUCACGUGUGAGCCAUCAUAGAUGGUGACAGAGUGCUACAGGAAGUGACCGUUUUGAACCACCCCCAGUAGUGAAGCUUUUCAGCCAGAGGUGUACAGAUUCCUCAACCCCUCUCUCCCCCACCACAUGUGUCAGCUGUGAUAUCAAUGGAGCUCUCCCUCAUCAAUAGGAACCUUAUGAUAAUCUAAUAACUACACAGAUCUUGCAAAUACUAAUAUUGUAAUUGAUUUCACCAUGUCCUGGGUAGUUCCGAACUACAUAUAUAGCCUCAUGGUAUUAACAGGCAAUGUCAGUAUUUUACCUUAUCUACCAUGUAUUCUAGAUAUGUAUCAAUAGAACUAAUUUAUUGAUUUUGUAUGAAUAUCUACAUACAAUUUACUACUGUAUUGAGUUGCAUGCUAUUCGAACUAAUAUUCUGCACAGGGGAUAGGAAAUAUGUGGUACUGAACUCAGCUCUCUCUGUAUCUCAUCUUUGGAAUAGAUGCUGUAACAUAUAUCAAACUAUAAAGUUAAGAAGACAGAGAAGAGGCCAGUUCCUCUUGCUUUUCAUUUGACUGCUGGAGAAUCAUUUUUGCAUAUCUAGGGUUCAUGCUCCAUAACUUAUCUGGUUUCACCAACUGCUAGAAAUGCAUUUAUUGGGAAGCAGUAUAUUUAAUUUAAUCAAGAUGAAGGUGGAGAACCAAAGCAACCAUCAGCAAGGCCAUUUUACCUGAAAAUAUUUAUUCUUUGGAGUCACUGAUAAUUUGACCUAAUUUUUUUUUCACUUCCUCAGGCACUGUGAUGUUUUUUCUUUUUUCACAAUAAUUUCAGGAUUUAUGUC